UACGAAGGGGGCUAGCGUUGUUCGGAUUUACUGGGCGUAAAGCGCACGUAGGCGGAUCGUUAAGUCAGGGGUGAAAUCCCGGAGCUCAACUCCGGAACUGCCUUUGAUACUGGCGAUCUUGAGGCUGGAAGAGGUUAGUGGAAUUCCCAGUGUAGAGGUGAAAUUCGUAGAUAUUGGGAAGAACACCAGUGGCGAAGGCGGCUAACUGGUCCAGAUCUGACGCUGAGGUGCGAAAGCGUGGGGGAGCAAACAGGG
rnacentral:rRNA from 1 species